rnacentral:rRNA from 1 species
CCUACGGGAGGCAGCAGUGAGGAAUAUUGGUCAAUGGGCGCUAGCCUGAACCAGCCAAGUAGCGUUAAGGAUGACUGCCCUACGGGUUGUAAACUUCUUUUAUAAAGGAAUAAAGUGAGGCACGUGUGCCUUUUUGUAUGUACUUUAUGAAUACGGGUAGGCUAACUCCGUGCCAGCAGCCGCGGUAAUACGGAGGAUCCGAGCGUUAUCCGGAGUUAUUGGGUUUAAAGGGAGCGUAGAUGGGUGGUUAAGUCAGUUGUGAAAGUUUGCGGCUCAACCGUAAAAUUGCAAUUGAUACUGGCAGCCUUGAGUACAGUUGAGGUAGGCGGAAUUCGUGGUGUAGCGGUGAAAUGCUUAGAGAUCACGAAGAACUCCGAUUGCGAAGGCAGCUUACUAAACUGCCACUGACAUUGAUGUUCGAAAGUGUGGGUAUCAAACAGGAUUAGAUACACGGGUAGUC